GACGGGGGGGGCAAGUGUUCUUCGGAAUGACUGGGCGUAAAGCGCACGUAGGCGGCUUUCUAAGUCGGGGGUGAAAUCCUGGAGCUCAACUCCAGAACUGCCUUCGAUACUGGAGAGCUUGAGUCCGGGAGAGGUGAGUGGAACUGCGAGUGUAGAGGUGAAAUUCGUAGAUAUUCGCAAGAACACCAGUGGCGAAGGCGGCUCACUGGCCCGGUACUGACGCUGAGGUGCGAAAGCGUGGGGAGCAAACAGG
rnacentral:rRNA from 1 species